AAUGCCAAGAUGGAAACAUUCAACAGGCCACAGGGGAUAUUUCUUACAAUGGUUAUGGACUUGAUGAAUUUGCACCUGAGAAAACUGCUGCUUAUAUUAGCCAAUAUGAUCUGCACAUACCUGAGAUGACAGUACGGGAAACUUUAGACUUCUCUGCACGGUGCCAAUGUGUGGGGACUAGAGAUGGUAAUCCCCUUUUCACAAAUUUUAAUAUUUCAUAAUCACGAAAAAACUUGUUCAUAACAAUGUAAUAACAGUAUUGUGUUUUUAUUUGUCCAAAGAAAUACUUGAUGAAGUGAACAAAAGGGAGAAGAUGGCUGGGAUAAUACGUGGCCAUGAUAUACACAUGAAGGUAAAAUUUUAAUCCCAUUUUAUAAACAGAUUGACAUAAAAAUUUUUUACCAAUAAUGAAUAUCAUUGUCUUGAAAGAAUGAAACACUGCAAUGUGGAUCAAAAGAAUAGAUUCUUGUUCUUAUCUAUUUAAUUAUGAAACGAGCCCUAAUUGAUAGAUACUUCAGCUCUAUAAAUUAAAUAUCUAUGAGAAUAAAAGGUAAAGUGGCUUAUGUAGGCAACAUCAAUUGGUGCUUCAGAGAAAAAGCUACAUACAGACAAUAUUUUGAAGGUAUACACAGAACCUGAAAGAAACAAAUCCUUGACAAAGAAAAUUAUAGGCUUACCACAAAGCUAUUUUUUGGUAGAUCAUGGGGCUAGACAUAUGUGCAGACACCAUGGUUGGGGAUGCAAUGAGAAGAGGCAUAUCAGGGGGUGAGAAGAGAAGACUAACAACAGGUAUAUUAGAGCAAUAUGGUUGGCAUUUUCCUAAAAAAAGAGAAAUGACAAUAUGGUUAGCAAACAUAUAUUAUAAUGAUCACUAAAUAUUAUUUUGCCAACAUGCAACAGCGGAGCUGAUUAUUGGACCAGCAAAAGCAUUUUUCAUGGAUGAAAUAUCCAAUGGUUUGGAUAGCUCUACUACUUUCCGAAUAAUUAAGUGCUUUCAACAAUUGGCCAACAUCAAUGAAUGCACCAUGCUUAUUUCACUUCUUCAACCAACACCUGAGAUAUUUGAUCUAUUUGAUGACCUGAUCCUGAUGGCAGAAGGAAAGAUUAUCUACCAUGGCCCUCGAAAUGAAGCUCACAUUUUUUUUGAAGAAUCAGGUUUCAGAUGUCCAGA
rnacentral:lncRNA from 1 species